rnacentral:rRNA from 1 species
CAGUAGCCGCGGUAAUACGUAGGGUGCAAGCGUUAAUCGGAAUUACUGGGCGUAAAGCGUGCGCAGGCGGUUUGUUAAGACAGAUGUGAAAUCCCCGGGCUCAACCUGGGAACUGCAUUUGUGACUGGCAAGCUAGAGUAUGGCAGAGGGGGGUGGAAUUCCGCGUGUAGCAGUGAAAUGCGUAGAUAUGCGGAGGAACACCGAUGGCGAAGGCAGCCCCCUGGGCCAAUACUGACGCUCAUGCACGAAAGCGUGGGGAGCAAACAGGAUUAGAUACCCCAGUAGUCCCUGUCUCUUAUAA